rnacentral:rRNA from 1 species
CAGUCGCCACGGGAAUACGGAGGGUGCAAGCGUUAAUCGGAAUUACUGGGCGUAAAGCGCACGCAGGCGGUCUGACAAGUCAGAUGUGAAAUCCCCGGGCUUAACCUGGGAACUGCAUUUGAAACUGUCAGGCUGGAGUCUUGUAGAGGGGGGUAGAAUUCCAGGUGUAGCGGUGAAAUGCGUAGAGAUCUGGAGGAAUACCGGUGGCGAAGGCGGCCCCCUGGACAAAGACUGACGCUCAGGUGCGAAAGCGUGGGGAGCAAACAGGAUUAGAUACCCCCGUAGUCUCUGUCUCUUAUAC